AUCCUACGGGGGGCAGCAGUGGGGAAUAUUGCACAAUGGGGGAAACCCUGAUGCAGCGACGCCGCGUGAAGGAAGAAGUAUCUCGGUAUGUAAACUUCUAUCAGCAGGGAAGAAAACAGACGGUACCUGACUAAGAAGCCCCGGCUAACUACGUGCCAGCAGCCGCGGUAAUACGUAGGGGGCAAGCGUUAUCCGGAUUUACUGGGUGUAAAGGGGGCGCAGACGGCGAUGCAAGCCAGGAGUGAAAGCCCGGGGCCCAACCCCGGGACGGCUCUUGGAACUGCAUGGCUGGAGUACAGGAGGGG
rnacentral:rRNA from 1 species